GAAGUAGCUGUGUAAGGUUACCUAGUAAAACAAAGCUCUGAAGUCUGCUCUUAGCUUCUCUUAUUCUUCCAAUAUCUUUCUUCCUUUUAGGGUCUGUAGAUUCUUCACUUCUUCUGAUCCUUCAAUACAAGGCAAUCAUGGAAGGAGAGGCUUCAGCUGAUUUUCGAGACUGGGAGCUCCUAGUGAACUCUGAUGCCGACCCGAUUAAUUCCCCCAAUUCCGCCAAUAAUUCCAGGAGUUUUGAUGAAAUUGAAGCUGAUUCUGAAGGUGUGCUCAGGUUAGAUUAUUUCUCCCUUGAAAAUGAUAAACGAUAUGCCAAAACUGUUGUUGAUGCCAGUGAAGAGGGUUCUGUUGAGUCUGAUAAUCCCAGUUGGAUUGAUCCCGGGUCGGAGACUGGGAAUCAGAGGAGGAAUUUUGGUGAAUUCUGGUCCGAUUCGGGGAGUGAUCGGUCUGUUGAGCGGAAAUUUAGUGAUUUCGAUGUGAAAAAAGAAUUGGGUUCUGUGGAAAACGUGAAAACUGAAGUUGGUUUUGAAGGGAUUGGAGAAAUUGAAGGUAAAGAUGG
rnacentral:misc_RNA from 1 species